UCCCCGUUACCGAGGCAGUCUAUUCAGAAAAAUUCAACUGAAUAUAAGGGUUGCGCUCGUUGAUGGACUUAACCAAACAUCUCACGACACGAGCUGACGACGGCCAUGCAUCACCUGUCACCUGAUUCCCGAAGGCACAGUCUCCUUUCAGAGACCUUCCAGGGAUGUCAAGCCUUGGUAAGGUUCUUCGCUUAUCAUCGAAUUAAACAACACGCUCCACCGCUUGUGCGGGUCCCCGUCAAUUCCUUUAUGUUUUAAGCUUGCGCUCGUACUCCACAGGCGGGAUGCUUAACGCGUUAGCUUCGCUACUACCAGGGUCGAUACUGGUAACAGCUAGCAUCCAUCGUUUACGGCGUGGACUAC
rnacentral:misc_RNA from 1 species